CAACAGUACCAUGUGGAAGGCAAAAUAUAUAUUAGAAGAAGUAAAAUUGCUUCCUGGUGAUUGCUGGGCUGUAUUUUAGAAGUCCUUUUUGCUACCGCUGCACUAACUUCCUCAUUAACAUUCAGAUUUUCAAUCUGUCUUUUGCAUGUUCUCUCACACAGAUUGUUACCCAAGAGGAUUGAUCAGAGACGUUGAGAUAAAGAGUGAAGAUCUUGGGAAGUAAUGAAUUUAGCUAUUACUGAACACUAGAUCAAUACAGCAACGUCUAAGCAAUCUUAUCUCCUGUAAGUCAUCACUGCAAGAAAGCGUCUGCAAUGGCAGAUGCCAGAACAACAGUGGCCUCUUUCAUCAAGAAUUUUGCCAAAGGACUUGUACAAAACCCAUAUUUUGGCUCUCUAUACUAGAUGGCUCGGCUGGCUGGAAUGAAAGUGAAGAUGACAGACAGGAUUUUGGUCUCUGGAGAGAGAAGAUCUCACUGUAAGACUGGAUGUUGCACGAUCUCCACCACUAAGGACAAGGUUUUAGCAUAUUUGUCCUGAGAAUGCCUGGAAACCAACAUGAAGGAAUAACCAAAUGUUCCCAGAAUCUACUAAUCCUGUCUAUGCCUUCAUCACCAACCUCAAUCACAGAGCACACCCAACAAAGCACAAAGAAGAAAAAAUAAAGGAAGCAUUCUUUAACUGCUUGCA
rnacentral:lncRNA from 1 species